AUAAUGGAAUAUCCAGAGCAUAAGCGGAGGGGAGGGAAUAUUCUGAAGACAUAUCCCGUUCCGUUUGGCGUGGCUCGCGCCGGUCCUCCUUUCACUCCUAAAUAAAUAUAAAUACCCCCUUUCCUCCAUACUCUUGCUUCAAAUCUACAAAGCUUCACACAAUACUUUGUUGCGUCGCCCCGUCUCUUUUAAUUUCCCCGUCUUUAAACAAAAAUAAAAAAUAUAUGGCUCUCAAGGCCGUCCAUGUCUCCGACGUCCCCAACCUCGACCAGGUGCCGGAAAAUGCCUCUCUGGCACUCUACUCCACCCGCUUCUCCAAAGGAGUGGAAAUGGGUCGGGUGGCAUCAAGGAUACCCAAGUUUCUGGUCAUAGGACACAGAGGGAAUGGUAUGAACGCGUUACAGUCGUCGGAUAGGAGAAUGAGAGCCAUUAAAGAGAACUCCAUCGCGUCCUUCAACUCGGCCGCCAACUUCCCCAUUGAUUUCGUCGAAUUUGAUGUUCAGAAUGGAGGUGAAUGAAGCUAAAAGAAAAAGAAAAAAAAAAAAAAACAGAAGAAAAGAAACCCAAAAAAAAAACGAGGAAAAAUGAAACAGGAAAGUGAAACCCAAUGUGGUGGCUUUUUGUAGGUAACCAAAGAUGACUGCCCAGUCAUUUUCCACGACAACUUCAUCCUCUCUGAAGAAAAUGGGACUGUGUGUGAGAGGAGAGUAACGGAACUGUGUCUGUCGGAGUUUCUUUGCUACGGCCCACAAAGAGAGGCAGGAAAGGAAGGAAAAACUUUGUUGAGGAAAACCAAAGAUGGUAAAAUAGUAAGAUGGGAUGUUGAAAAAGAUGACUCUCUCUGCACACUCCAAGAAGCCUUCGAGCAGGUUGAACCUUCCCUGGGCUUCAACAUCGAGUUGAAAUUCGACGACUACGUUGUUUACGAACAGGACUAUCUCAUCAACGUCUUUCAAGCCAUCUUGCAAGUGGUGUUUAACUACGCCAAAGACAGGCCCAUCAUCUUCUCAAGCUUCCAACCCGAUGCUGCGCUGAUUGUUAAAAAGUUGCAGAGCACCUAUCCUGUUUUUUUCUUGACAAAUGGUGGGACGGAGCUUUACUAUGAUGUGAGAAGGAAUUCUUUGGAGGAAGCCAUGAAGUUGUGUUUGGAGGGUGGUUUGCAAGGUAUUGUGUCGGAGGUUAAAGGUGUGUUCAGAAAUCCUGGGGCACUGACCAAGAUCAAGGACGCCAAGCUUUCACUCCUAACAUACGGAAAAUUGAACAAUGUGGCGGAAGCUGUUUACAUGCAGUACCUAAUGGGAAUCGAGGGAGUGAUAGUAGAUCUUGUGCAAGAGAUCACAGAGUCGGUGUCGGAUAUGAUUAAGCCAACAACAGCUGAAGACGGGGGGGACAAGAAUCUGUUGGAAGGAGACGGGAAGAUGCAGAUGCAGGUGAAAUCAAAGCCAGAGUUCUCGCAGAGGGAGCUUUCUUUUCUUUUGAAGCUGAUUCCAGAGUUGAUACAGCUCUAAUACAAGGAUUGCUACUUGCCCUUUGCUUGUUUCAAAUAUAUUUUCUCCUUUUAUUUUAGGGCCUAUACUCAUCACUCAAGUCUGGAGGUUGACGCAUCUUAUUCUAUGCUCGUUGUUCGUUGUACAUAAUUUGGUCUUGUUUUAUAUUAGCACAAACGUUGUGCGCUCCUCCAUUAUCCAUCCAUACAUGUAUCUCAGAAAUUCUAUGUUAAUUAGUUUUUUGAUAAGAUCUAUGUUAAUUAGUUGAGCAGCUUAUUUUCUUCUU